rnacentral:lncRNA from 1 species
AUCUAUGAUAUGAUAUGUUGUAUAUAAAAUCUAAAAAAUACUGAAGAUAAAAUCAACAUGCAUGCAUGUAAGCAAUAGAUCACAUCUACUUCUAAUCUGAGUUCAAAACUCGAUAUUUGUACACGGAUCGACGAUCGCUACUGCUGAGAGAUAUGAUAGAGAGGGUCUUAGUUGGUUACUGAUAGCCAUACAUGCAUCCGACCUCUAUGAAAAGUCCACUCGAAGCUCCGAUCUGAUCGGUCUUCUCAAGAGUACUAGCUCGCACGAAGAUCUUCUUCUUGACUGAUCUGAAUUCUUUCUUCAAAUUUUUGAAAUCUUUUUAGAGGUUGAAGAUGAUUAUCUAGAGAAAAUAAGGAUGUGGAAAAAGAAAGGAGAAGAAAUAAUUUUUUUCUCAUAUUUUUUUCUUUUCUCAAACCCUAAAGACCAAAAUCCUAUAAAAUAGA